AGAGUGAACGCUGGCGGCAGGCCUAAUACAUGCAAGUCGAACGGCAGCACAGCAGAGCUUGCUCUGUGGGUGGCGAGUGGCGGACGGGUGAGGAAUACAUGGGAAUCUGCCCAGUCGUGGGGGAUAACGUAGGGAAACUUACGCUAAUACCGCAUGCGCCCUUCGGGGGAGAGCCGGGGACCUUCGGGCCUGGCGCGAUUGGAUGAGCCCAUGUCGGAUUAGCUAGUUGGGGGGUAAAGGCCACCAAGGCGACGAUCCGUAGCUGGUCUGAGAGGAUGAUCAGCCACACUGGAACUGAGACACGGUCCAGACUCCUACGGGAGGCAGCAGUAGGGAAUAUUGGACAAUGGGCGCAAGCCUGAUCCAGCCAUGCCGCGUGUGUGAAGAAGGCCUUGGGUUGUAAAAGCGUAACUUUUUGUACCGGAAAGAAAAGCGACUCGGGUUAAACACCCGUUGGUGUCCUGACGGUACCGGAAAG
rnacentral:rRNA from 1 species